rnacentral:lncRNA from 1 species
GGGAAUAGCUGGGUCAAAUGGAAGCUUGUUUUUGAGGAAUCUUCACACUGAUUUCCACAGUGGUUACACCAGUCUACACUCCAACCAGCAGAGGAGAAAGGAAGAUGGUAGAGUGGUGAACAGCAGAGAAAUAGCCUCUCUGAGAUUUGGUGUCCAGACAAUGAAAUAUAGUAACGUGAGGAAGAGAAGACAGAGGAAAGUCGGUCCCUGGGACCCAGCAAGGAUCUGAAGCAGGAAUGGAACCCCACGGGGAGAGUGAAUAGACCUCAAUGCAGAAGAAGAACAAGAUUCGCUCGUGUGCAAAUGCGGUUGUCUCAUAAACUCAAGAAGUGGAAUGCAUGUGACUGUACAUCCCUGGAACCGUGCCAACAGGCACUCUAGGCAGAAAGAGAACAGAGGAAGAGUAUUAUACUUACAAUACCAAUUCAACAAAAUGGAUCCAGUGCUUCCAGAACCCUGAAAAUCUCCGUUGGAUUUGUAAAUUUAUAUAAUCAUGUUCUCGGAAAUCCUCAGAGCCUGUCAUGAUAUCAUAAUGAC